CCACCUCUCCUACACAAUAAUUCACGCCAGAAAUCUGCCCUCUCCUUUGCCGCAGCUUUCCAUCACCAUUCACCAUAAUUCCUACCCAAAAAACAACCCUAGCCGCACCAACCAUCAACCCUAAACCUUUUCAUACCAUUCCCCAUCCAUUCUACACCACAAAUAACCCCAAAAACCUGUUCUAAACUUCUCUACCGUAGCAAGGAGGAAGGAGAAUUCUUGGAUGCGCUUGCUGCCAAGUUGGAGCGUUCUAGGUGUUUUCUUUCUUUGGAUUUUAAUUUCUAAAUUUAUGUAUCUUUGCUUUGCGAGUAUGAGGAACUAAAGCCCCCCUUGGCUAGGGGGGGAUUCGAAAUACAUGUUUAUGCUUGCAAUAUGAAUUGAUUACUUCUAAUUGCGUUUCAUAAGUUGUGAAUUCAAUUUACUUAUCUAUGUGAAUUACAUUGAUUUGUGUAUGUUGGUUGAGAGUGCACGCUUAAUUAUCAUGCAUAAAUUGAAUGCUAGGAUAUAAGGAAAUUUCACCUAAUCGUUAUAGAAUUAUAUUCACAAGUAGUAAAGGUUGAUGAUCUCAAUCGCGUUAAGUAAAUUCUUGGCAUAAGUUUCAUGCAAUCAUAGUAACAAGUGCUUCGUCAAUGCUUAUGGUUUUCAUAGAACUUAAUGAUUCUUGCUUGUAUCUCUAUUAUGCAAUCAUGUAGGGGACUUGUGGGGAAUGCUUUGGGUUGUCGUAUGCAAUCAUCCAAUUCAAUAACGUUAGGAAAAUCUGAAGGUUAAUUUAAGCGGACCUAAUUAACUUGGGGCGUUGAGAAUUCAUGGUUUAUUGAAAAGCAAUUGGAAAUCGUUUUAUAUGCAAGUGUGACAUGUGUGGAGAUGAACCCCUUAGCUAGCUUUCCAUCCAUUCAUUUAAACCAAAUUCGUUUUAAAAUCUAUUUUGAUUUACAAGUUUAUAUUUUGUUUUCAAUUUCGUAAAAAUCAAUCCCCCUUUAUUUUCAAGUGUCAUAUUAGUUAGAAAUCAAUUUAGUUUGUGUUUUUAAGUGUCUUGAGUCAAGUUAAAACCAAUUUUCGUCCAAAUUCUUCCUUAGUGUUCAAAACUGCCCAUAAAGUGUUUUUAAGACAGUUUUGAGUGUUUAUUUGCUAUUUUGAGUCUUUUGGUUUGUUUUAGUGUUUUAAAGUUUAGUUGUGCAUUCUUUGAGUCUAGUUUAGUGUUUUAACUUGUUUUUACGUAUUUGAGUCAGUUUUCAAGUGAUUUAGCAAUCCCUCCUAAUCCCCGGCCUAGAACGAUCCCUACUUACAUACUUACUACAAUUGAUAAAAAGAGGGUUAAUUUGAGUGCUAGUUAAUAUCAUAUCAAAUUUUGGCGCCGUUGCCGGGGAUUAGCAACUUUGCUAAUCCCUUGGAUUGUUAUUUUCAUUUUUCUUAUUAGAUUAGAUUCUUAUGUUAUUUUAUUUCUUGUUUUAGGUACUUGUUUAUGACUCCGAGUUCUAAUCCGGUUCACGAACAUAUUUUAGACUUUAACGACGAUUUUGAGCGUGAGUUGAGACGAAAGAGGAAGAACCCGGAAUCAAGUGAAUCAAGUGCAAGUUCCGAGUCCGUUUCUGAAUUUGAAGAGGAAGUGGAAGACAUAGCAGCGGACAACCAAACGAUCAAGGAGCUUUCCGCUUCGGGAUUGGAUAAUUCCGCACCUCUAUGUAUC
rnacentral:lncRNA from 1 species